UUGUGCAAAAAUUUGUUAUCGCAUUCGUGGGGAAGCUUUACCCAAAUUAAAAAGAAGCAGUGUUUUCUGUGCAAAUCGGUAGAAUAUCUAUUUGCCGAAACCAAGAAAGUGAACUCAUCUGUUCAUUUUCUGCUCGCUACACAAAUUUGACUGCUUGCUAUACAAAUUCGAUUUGUUGGCAAAUGACACCAGCGUAAAGUCGAAUGGUGAUUCCCUCGUGAGCAUUUGAAUUGCGCUUGAUUGCUAAUUCAGCAUAUUUUUUGUGCUGUUCAGCUUGGAGAGACUGAGCUGUAUCCAUUUCGAAUUGAUAAUUAUGUCGAGCAAUGAGGUUACACCAAAAGAAUCACUAAUCAAGUAUGGCGCCGGUUCUAAGUAAUUGGUUGAAUUUUAUGAGUUCAACAUUUUUGGUAAGAUUGAGUUUCAUGUUAAGGACUGGUCCUUAGUCGGUAAGAUAAUUUGUUAUGAAUGGCUUAUACUUGUUAGAUGUGCAAAAUACGUAUAGUAUAAAAUAUCAAUUAGUUAUUCCUUAUGCACAUGAAUUCAGAUAUCAGCUCCAAGGGUGAAGAGAAACAAUCAAAUAUUGCAUUAUUUAAUUUUAACCAUUAUUCUACCUUCCGUACGUAUAGUCGAAAGACGUCGUCGUUUCAAUAUUAAUGAUAAAAUCAAGGAGUUGGGUACACUGUUACCCAGGAAUAUCGAGGGUUCCAGCAGCGAUAUCAGCGGGAAGGAUGGACGUGUCAAUAAGGGAACCAUUCUGAAGAGCACAGUCGAUUAUGUCAAGGAACUGAAACAAGAGGUUAGCGCACUGCGAAGGAACGGUGACCUGUUGGUUGCGAUCAAGAACGAGAAUAUUAUUCUGCAACACAAACUGGUGGUAAUUUGGUUUGCUCCUCUUAACUGUUUAUAUUUCAUUGAUACAUAUAUACCAAUUAUAUUACCUCAGAAGAUAUUUACGUAAUUAUAUGUCACAAAAUUGUUCUUACAUGUUCAUAUACACUUGUUUUUAACAUUAUACAGAAUAAAUAAAGAGUUACUUUUCAGCAUAGAAAACGGUGAGUAGCGAGUCCAAUUCGACUGGAACGGUAUGAUAUAAAUUGUUAAUUUUUUUUCUAUAAUAUUUCUGUGUCAAUAGGUGUUGUUUGGGAGGAAUUCUUGAUGACGAAUUGAUGCUGAUGAUUUGUUGAUAG